rnacentral:rRNA from 1 species
AUUGAACGCUGGCGGCAGGCCUAACACAUGCAAGUCGAGCGAGAAAUCACUUCGGUGAGAGUACAGCGGCGGACGGGUGAGUAACGCGUAGGAAUCUACCUGGUAGUGGGGGACAACUCGGGGAAACUCGAGCUAAUACCGCAUACGCCCUGAGGGGAAAGCGGGGGAUCUUCGGACCUCGCGCUAUUGGAUGAGCCUGCGUCGGAUUAGCUUGUUGGUGGGGUAAAAGCCUACCAAGGCGACGAUCCGUAGCUGGUCUGAGAGGAUGAUCAGCCACACUGGAACUGAGACGCGGUCCAGACUCCUACGGGAGGCAGCAGUGGGGAAUAUUGCGCAAUGGGGGCAACCCUGACGCAGCCAUGCCGCGUGUGUGAAGAAGGCCCUAGGGUUGUAAAGCACUUUCAAUUGGGAAGAAAAGCUCACCGUUAAUAGCGGUGAGCCGUGACAUUACCUUUAGAAGAAGCACCGGCUAACUCCGUG